GUUGUCUGCAUGUAGGCAGUAGUGGUAGCUCUGCAAAGCUCACGAGGAAUUCAUCAUUCUAAACAAUGGCUUUCUGUUUGCUACUAGUUUUAAUUGCAUUCAUUGGUGCAAGUAUACAAGACAGCAUUACCCCAACAUCUCCUGUAGUCUAUGCAAAGGUCAAUGAAAAAGUGACAAUCUCUUGUACAUACAAGUACACUGUGUCAAUGAAUAAUCUACAGUGGUAUCGACAUUACCUCGACUCUAGCCCGGAAUUUCUUGUUCUAAUCAUGGAGUCAGGACAAAAUCAGACGGCUACACCUCCUCAUCCUCGGCUGAAAGCUUCAGUUAAUAAAGAUAACAAGAUGGUGAAUCUAGAAAUCUUUCCUGCAGAUGUGAAGGACUCUGCAGCGUAUUACUGCGCACUGCAGCCCACAGUGGCAGGAAACACAUGAACACCAUACAAAAACCUACUCAGAGCUAAACAGAGAACAAAAUGGUUUAGAUCAACCUGUCAGACCAGAGAGUGUGCACAGAUGCCACAAGGGGGCAGCA